ACAACUUUAGGAUCGUCGGUCUACCGAGCAAUAUCACCCGCUUGGUGGGAGAUCUUCCGUUUGUCAU
rnacentral:pre_miRNA from 1 species